AACGAACGCUGGCGGCAUGCCUAACACAUGCAAGUCGAACGAGAGCGCCCGGUGCUCUUGCUCUUCAGUCUGGCGGCGGACGGGCGAGUAACACAUGGGUCACCUUCCCCUCUGACGGGGAUGAUAAUCGGAGACGACUUCUACUACCCCAUCAUUCUUCGAACCGCUUUGUUCAAGGGUUCUAUGAGCCGUACGCUUCUGCAUAAGCCUGUCUCCGCGUUGCUUUAGCUAGUUGGUGAGGUAACGGCCCACCAAGGUCGUGAUGCAUAGCUGACCUGAGAGGGUGAUCAGCCACAUUGGAACUGAGACACGGCCCAGACUCCUACGGGAGGCAGCAGUAGGGAAUCUUCCGCAAUGGGCGCAAGUCUGACAGAGCAACACCGCGUGAGUGAAGAAGGUUUUCGGAUCGUAAAGCUCUGUUGUUGGGAAAGAACAAGAGCUAGUGUAACUGUUGGGGUAUUGACGGUACCUAAAGAAUAAGCAACGGCUAACUACGUG
rnacentral:rRNA from 1 species